rnacentral:lncRNA from 1 species
GCGUUGAUGUAGCCGCAUCUGAAGGAGUAUGAGUCAUGCACGUCGAUCAAACUCGCUUUGAGAGGAAAAGCUAAUUCAUAACAAAAAAAAAAAGGAAAAGAAAAGAAAAAGAAAAACGUGGUUCAAUGUUCCACGGUGCCCAACUUAAAUAAAGUAGGAGAGCAAUCCAGUACUUGGUCGUCCUUGAAACAAAUUAAUGAUGUGACAUUCUAACUGCAUCUGACCAGGAUGGGUACGUUGAGGGAGACCCAGCAGGGAAAAAAUAAAGGAAUUCGUGGUCUUCAAUUGGUUCAUUUUGUAGAAAAGUAAUUCUUCCUUGA